AGGAAAAUCCGUCGAAUUUAUCAAUCGGGAGGGUUCAAGUCCCUUUAUC
rnacentral:tRNA from 1 species